CAGUCGCCGCGGUAAUACGGAGGGAGCUAGCGUGGUUCGGAAUUACUGGGCGUAAAGCGCACGUAGGCGGCUUUGUAAGUUAGAGGUGAAAGCCUGGAGCUCAACUCCAGAAUUGCCUUUAAGACUGCAUCGCUUGAAUCCGGGAGAGGUGAGUGGAAUUCCGAGUGUAGAGGUGAAAUUCGUAGAUAUUCGGAAGAACACCAGUGGCGAAGGCGGCUCACUGGACCGGCAUUGACGCUGAGGUGCGAAAGCGUGGGGAGCAAACAGGAUUAGAUACCCCCGUAGUCCCUGUCUCUUAUAC
rnacentral:rRNA from 1 species